UGCUUUGCGCAGUGGCAGUAUCGUAGCCAAUGAGGUUAAUCCGAGGCUCGAUUAUUGCUAAUUGAAAACAAUGAAUCAGAUGUUGCUAUGGUUAGCUUAAAAUAAAGCACUAAUCAUAUCCAAACGUUCAGAGCUUUUCGCCUGCUCUACCCAUAUAAUUAAAG
rnacentral:snRNA from 1 species